rnacentral:lncRNA from 1 species
UUGGGUGAGAGGUGAAGUUGAGUGUAUCUUUGGGUUUUGGGAUGAUGAAAAGAAGAAGGGUAGAGCUUGAAAUCAUUUAGGAAAGAGGUAGAAUGAUGAGAACAAAACAUUGUAUGCAUAAAUUGCUUCUUUUCUUAGAUAAGUUUUGCAUAAUGAUCUUGCUCCUAUUCUUGAGUGUGAAUCACUAUAAAAAAAUGCAUUUGAAACCCAUCUUUCUUCACAUUAGACCAUCUGCUCUCACCAAACCAAAUGAUUGAGAUCAUGUGCCCAUUUGCAAGAACUCACCUUGUAUGCUUGUUAAAUGAAUGUGAGGGUUGGCUAAAAAACUUGUUGAUUGAUGAGUAAUUGACUUGUGUUGAGGCAUAAGAGUCUUGAUAGGCCUUGAGAAGCUAGAGUGUACAAAGAGAGC